rnacentral:rRNA from 1 species
UACGGGGGGGGCAAGCGUUGUUCGGAAUUACUGGGCGUAAAGGGCUCGUAGGCGGCCAACUAAGUCGGACGUGAAAUCCCUCAGCUUAACUGGGGAACUGCGUGUGAUACUGGAUGGGCUUGGAUUUGGGAGAGGGAUGCGGAAUUCCAGGUGUAGCGGUGAAAUGCGCAGAUAUCGGGAGGAACACCAAUGGCGAAGGCAGCUCGCUGGGACGGUACUGACGCUGAGGGACGAAAGCUAGGGGAGCGAAUGGG